rnacentral:rRNA from 1 species
GAAUCCGCYAAGGAGUGUGUAACAACUCMCCUGCCGAAUGAAUUAGCCCUGAAAAUGGAUGGCGSUGAAGCGGGCGGCCGACRCCGSVCCGUUCGAAYUAAUUUAUGUUUUMRGAUGAGUAGGAGGGCGUGGCGGCCGUGUCGAAGCGUGCGUGCMGACSCGUGUGGAACGGCCGCUAGUGCAGAUCUUGGUGGUAGUAGCAAAUAUUCAAGCGAGAUCCUUGAAGGGCGAAGCGGGGAAGGGUUCCACGCGAACAUUGAUUGGGCGUGGGUGAGUCGUUCCUAAGCCGAGUGGCGAUUGCUAAGUAGCGGCGAAAGGGAAGCGGGUUGACAUUCCCGCACACGGAUGUGGAGGCGGCGACGCAUUUAUUUUGUUGGGGCAAACMCSCUGGBGACGGCGCUGGGCAGAGUUGUCUUUUCUGUUUGACCGUGUGUGCGCGCUGUGUGGAAUCCGCUUGUCGGGAGAAACACGCGCGCGCGGGCAGAGCGCCGGGGCUUUUCCGGCGUCCAGCUCGCCGUCGACGGCCCUUGWAMCUUUGCCUGCUGAUUUAAAUCCACRCCGUGGCGUACCGAUCACCGCAUCAGGUCCCCGAGGUGAACASCCUCUGCUCAGUAUGAACAAUGCAGGUAAGGGAAGUCGGCAAUACCCAUAUCCGCAGCAGGUCUCCAAGGUGAACAGCCUCUGGUCGAUAGAAUAAUGCAGGUAAGGGAAGUCGGCA